GGGGAUGUAGCUCAGUUGGUAGAGUACUUGCCUAGCAUGCAAAAGUCUCUGGGUUACAUCCCCA
rfam:Mesocricetus auratus contig080694, whole genome shotgun sequence.